GUCAGUGGUCCCAAGAGGGAGAGGGAGUAUAAAGUAGUUAUUAAGUUCGUUGCACGUGCAAAUUUACACCAUUUGGGUCAGUUUCUGGCGGGUAAGCGUGCUGAUGCUCCACAAGAAGCUCUUCAAAUACUGGACAUUGUAUUGAGAGAGCUGUCAUCUAAAAGGUACUGUCCUAUAGGGAGAUCCUUCUUUUCUCCUGAUAUUAGAUCACCUCAGCG
rnacentral:misc_RNA from 1 species